rnacentral:rRNA from 1 species
CAUGCAAGUCGAGCGGUAAGGCCUUUCGGGGUACACGAGCGGCGAACGGGUGAGUAACACGUGGGUGAUCUGCCCUGCACUUCGGGAUAAGCCUGGGAAACUGGGUCUAAUACCGGAUAUGACCUCCUAUCGCAUGGUGGGUGGUGGAAAGAUUUAUCGGUGCAGGAUGGGCCCGCGGCCUAUCAGCUUGUUGGUGGGGUAAUGGCCUACCAAGGCGACGACGGGUAGCCGACCUGAGAGGGUGACCGGCCACACUGGGACUGAGACACGGCCCAGACUCCUACGGGAGGCAGCAGUGGGGAAUAUUGCACAAUGGGCGAAAGCCUGAUGCAGCGACGCCGCGUGAGGGACGACGGCCUUCGGGUUGUAAACCUCUUUCAGCAGGGACGAAGCGCAAGUGACGGUACCUGCAGAAGAAGCACCGGCUAACUACGUGCCAGCAGCCGCGGUAAUACGUAGGGUGCAAGCGUUGUCCGGAAUUACUGGGCGUAAAGAGUUCGUAGGCGGUUUGUCACGUCGUUUGUGAAAACUCACAGCUCAACUGUGAGCCUGCAGGCGAUACGGGCAGACUUGAGUACUGCAGGGGAGACUGGAAUUCCUGGUGUAGCGGUGAAAUGCGCAGAUAUCAGGAGGAACACCGGUGGCGAAGGCGGGUCUCUGGGCAGUAACUGACGCUGAGGAACGAAAGCGUGGGUAGCGAACAGGAUUAGAUACCCUGGUAGUCCACGCCGUAAACGGUGGGCGCUAGGUGUGGGUUCCUUCCACGGAAUCCGUGCCGUAGCUAACGCAUUAAGCGCCCCGCCUGGGGAGUACGGCCGCAAGGCUAAAACUCAAAGG